rnacentral:rRNA from 1 species
CAGUCGCCGCGGUAACACGUAGGGUGCGAGCGUUAAUCGGAAUUACUGGGCGUAAAGCGGGCGCAGACGGUUACUUAAGCAGGAUGUGAAAUCCCCGGGCUCAACCUGGGAACUGCGUUCUGAACUGGGUGACUAGAGUGUGUCAGAGGGAGGUAGAAUUCCACGUGUAGCAGUGAAAUGCGUAGAGAUGUGGAGGAAUACCGAUGGCGAAGGCAGCCUCCUGGGAUAACACUGACGUUCAUGCCCGAAAGCGUGGGUAGCAAACAGGAUUAGAGACCCCUGUAGUCCCUGUCUCUUAUAC